AGAAUCCUGCAGGAGUGGGGCACGGACAGCUGCCUGGCAAGGAGGGUUAAGAGGAGAAGAACCGGAAGAGAUCUAACUUGGUUUUUAUACGAAGUUUCAACCAGUCCUCCUGUUUUCAGGCCUGCCCAGCACUCCCACCUUCGGAGGAACCAGUUGCCCCCAAAGGCUGAGUCUUUCUGGGAUUCUCAGACUCGUUGAUCUGUUUUUCCUUUGACGUGGGAUUUCACCAUAUUGGCCAGGCUGGUCUCGAACUCCUGACCUCGUGAUCCACUGGCUUCUGCCUCCCAAAGUGCUGGGAUUACAGGUGUGAGCCACCACACUGGCUUACCAAGGCAGACAAGUUCAUCUUCAAGAAAACUAAGAGAUCUCUUCCCCUGACAAAAAACAACUCCAUGUUUGAUGGGACUCAGACCUGGGCUCUUCUGUCACCUCUAGGUAGGGAGGUCUUGGAGAGCAAGUGAGACCAGAGUGUUCAUGGAAAGUCACCAUCCACAGACAUUGGAAAAAUAGUCAUUCCCAAUUUCUGCUAUGUGAUCCCGUUUAGGAGUCACCCUACCAAGUGGGUAUGAUGAUGAAGGUGAGCUGCUAAGAAAGAGGUUGAGAGACAGCUGAUGUUUGUUUCAAGCAAAUCUUCUUUAACCCGAGGCACCAGGAGCAGAGGGCCAGUGGGUAAAAAGGUUAAGUAGGAUGGAAUCUACAAUAAAGCCAAAUGUGUG
rnacentral:lncRNA from 1 species